rnacentral:rRNA from 1 species
UACGAAGGGGGCUAGCGUUGCUCGGAAUGACUGGGCGUAAAGGGCGCGUAGGCGGAUGGUACAGUCAGAUGUGAAAUUCCUGGGCUCAACCUGGGGGCUGCAUUUGAUACGUGCUGUCUUGAGUUCGGAAGAGGGUCGUGGAAUUCCCAGUGUAGAGGUGAAAUUCGUAGAUAUUGGGAAGAACACCAGUGGCGAAGGCGGCGACCUGGACGGACACUGACGCUGAGACGCGAAAGCGUGGGGAGCAAACAGG